CCUACGGGUGGCAGCAGUGAGGAAUAUUGGUCAAUGGACGAGAGUCUGAACCAGCCAAGUAGCGUGAAGGAUGACUGCCCUAUGGGUUGUAAACUUCUUUUAUAUGGGAAUAAAAUGUUCCACGUGUGGGAUUUUGUAUGUACCAUAUGAAUAAGGAUCGGCUAACUCCGUGCCAGCAGCCGCGGUAAUACGGAGGGUCCGAGCGUUAUCCGGAUUUAUUGGGUUUAAAGGGAGCGUAGGUGGAUUGUUAAGUCAGUUGUGAAAGUUUGCGGCUCAACCGUAAAAUUGCAGUUGAAACUGGCAGUCUUGAGUACAGUAGAGGUGAGCGGAAUUCGUGGUGUAGCGGUGAAAUGCUUAGAUAUCACGAAGAACUCCGAUGGCGAAGGCAGUUCACUGGACUGCAACUGACACUGAGGCUCGAAAGUGUGGGUAUCAAACAGGAUUAGAUACCCUAGUAGUC
rnacentral:rRNA from 1 species